rnacentral:rRNA from 1 species
UACGGGGGGAGCAAGCGUUGUUCGGAUUACUGGGCGUAAAGAGCGCGCAGGCGGUCGGAUAAGUCGAAUGUGAAAGCCCCCGGCUUAACUGGGGAGGGUCAUUCGAUACUGUUCGACUGGAAGGCAGGAGAGGGAAGCGGAAUUCCCGGUGUAGUGGUGAAAUGCGUAGAUAUCAGGAGGAACACCAAUAGCGAAGGCAGCUCGCUGGGACGUUACUGACACUGAGGCGCGAAAGCGUGGGGAGCGAACAGG